rnacentral:rRNA from 1 species
UAGAGUUUGAUCCUGGCUCAGAGCGAACGCUGGCGGCAGGCUUAACACAUGCAAGUCGAGCGGGCGUAGCAAUACGUCAGCGGCAGACGGGUGAGUAACGCGUGGGAACGUACCUUUUGGUUCGGAACAACACAGGGAAACUUGUGCUAAUACCGGAUAAGCCCUUACGGGGAAAGAUUUAUCGCCGAAAGAUCGGCCCGCGUCUGAUUAGCUAGUUGGUGAGGUAACGGCUCACCAAGGCUAUGAUCUUUAGCUGUUCUGAGAGGAAGAUCAGCCACACUGGGACUGAGACACGGCCCAGACUCCUACGGGAGGCAGCAGUGGGGAAUAUUGGACAAUGGGCGCAAGCCUGAUCCAGCCAUGCCGCGUGAGUGAUGAAGGCCUUAGGGUUGUAAAGCUCUUUUACCAGGGAAGAUAAUGACGGUACCUGGAGAAUAAGCCCCGGCUAACUUCGUGCCAGCAGCCGCGGUAA